UACGGAGGGUGCAAGCGUUGCUCGGAAUUAUUGGGCGUAAAGGGUAGGUAGGUGGUCUCAUUUGUCUGGGGUGAAAGCCUUGAGCUUAACUCAAGAGGUGCCCCAGAAACGGUGAGACUAGAGUCCUGGAGAGGGUCGCGGAAUUCCCGGUGUAGCGGUGAAAUGCGUAGAGAUCGGGAGGAACACCAGAGGCGAAGGCGGCGACCUGGACAGGCACUGACACUCAACUACGAAAGCGUGGGGAGCAAACAGG
rnacentral:rRNA from 1 species